UGCAUAUGCAUAAUAUUGAGUUCUUUCAUGAUUAUCCAAGGGUUAAUUUUUGAUGAUGAAUAUACUAAUGACCAAACAAUGUUUUAUUACAUCUUUGAAGUGUAUUUUUUGUGUGAUUUAAUCCUUGGAAUAUUACAUCGGAUUUGGAAGGACAUUCAGAGUUUAAAACCGUAUCCUCCGAGAAGUAAAUUUAACAUAUUAUUUUCUGUGUUGACUGUUUUACCGUAUUACGAGACGUAUUUAAUCUUGGCUAAUCCUUACGAAGAGCAUGUCAGAGAUUUCUGGAGAGUUAAAGUUUUCUUCAGAUAUGUAAAUAUAUUAAAAUAUUUUUUGUCUGAAUUUUAUAUUUAAUUUAAUACAUAUAUUUUUUAGAUAAUAAUUUACGAACAUCUUUUCAUCAGAAACUAUUACUUUACGAAUAUUUCUCGAAUAGUCCUUGUAAUGAUAAAACAUUAUUUUGUUUUAAUUUCAUUAUCCGUCUGUGUUGGAUUGUUAUCGUUUGUUUUCUUGAAAAAUUUAGACAAUCGGAUGGAUUUUAAAAUACAAGCAAUAAAUGUUUUUGAUUUUGGUAACAAGACUGAUAAGGAAUGGUUUUUAUUAUUGGCGAUAUCUGCUGGCUAUGAUGUUACACAGAAUUUAUUUUACCUAAUGCAACCACAAAGUGUUCUUGAAAUACUCCUUGCACUAUUAAUAUUUCUAAUUGGUUUCUAUUUACUAACGAUAACAUUAUUUACAAGAGCAUUAUUCUUCUUUUCAAUUUAUCUUACCAACAAGCAAACAUAUUUAACAAGCAACUUUAAAACCAAUCUUUUCAUAAACUUCCAGAAAUAUAUCAGGUACAUUUAUUCAUUAAUUAUUAAAAAUUUUUACUACGAAAAAUAUUUUUAGAAAAAUAUUACUCUGGAUAUUUUCUGGGAUGCCAUUCGUCAUACUCACAUCUUUAGAGAUAUUCCCCUCAACAUAAAACGUACAUUAUCUUCAAAAAUGUCGGAAAUUUCAAUGUCGGCCGGUGAAUAUCUAUACAAAUCCGGCGAAGCUAAACAAAAAUUAAUCUAUAUUGUAUUUGGUAACGUGCAUAUUAUUCAUAAUCAUCAAAUAUUUUAUCUAAGUUCAGGAUCACUCAUUUGUGAAUUAUCCUGUGUUCUGAUGACACACAGUAAUGCAGAUAUUAAAUGUGUCACGGAUUGUACAUUUCACAUUUUUGAAUUAAAUGAGUUUUAUAAAGCAAUAAA